rnacentral:rRNA from 1 species
CAGCAGCCACGGGAAUACGGGGGGGGCAAGUGUUAUUCGGAAUGACUGGGCGUAAAGGGCACGUAGGCGGUGAAAAGGGUGGAAAGUGAAAGUCGCCAAAACACUGGCGGGGUGCUUUCUUGACCAUUUCACUUGAGUGAGAUAGGGGAGAGUGGAAUUUCGUGUGGAGGGAUCAAAUCCUAAGAUAUACGAAGGAACGCCAACCGCGAAGGCAGCUCUCUGGGUCCCCACUGACGCUGGGGUGCGAAAGCAUGGGGAGCAAACAGGAUCAGAUACCCCCGUAGUCCCUGUCUCUUAUACA